rnacentral:rRNA from 1 species
UACGUAGGGCGCAAGCGUUGUCCGGAAUUAUUGGGCGUAAAGAGCUCGUAGGCGGCGUGUCGCGUCGGUUGUGAAAGCCCGGGGCUUAACUCCGGGUCUGCAGUCGAUACGGGCAGGCUAGAGUUCGGUAGGGGAGAUCGGAAUUCCUGGUGUAGCGGUGAAAUGCGCAGAUAUCGGGAGGAACACCGGUGGCGAAGGCGGUUCUCUGGGCCUUACCUGACGCUGAGGAGCGAAAGCGUGGGGAGCGAACAGG